rnacentral:rRNA from 1 species
GACGAACGCUGGCGGCGUGCUUAACACAUGCAAGUCGAACGGAAAGGCCCCUAGCUUGCUGGGGUACGUCGAGUGGCGAACGGGUGAGUAGCACGUGGGUGAUCUGCCCUGCACUUCGGGAUAAGCUUGGGAAACUGGGUCUAAUACCGGAUAUGAACGGUCUUUGGUGUGAUUGUUGGAAAGAUUUUUUCGGUUGUGGGAUGAGCUCGCGGCCUAUCAGCUUGUUGGUGGGGUAAUGGCCUACCAAGGCGUCGACGGGUAGCCGGCCUGAGAGGGUGUACGGCCACAUUGGGACUGAGAUACGGCCCAG